CUGAAAUACGCCACCGAACACCAAGCCCCGCUUUUCUGUUUCUGCAGCAGGAUAGCGCCUAGACCGACACUGCUCGCAUCUGUAUGCAGUUCCGUCUCUAGUGCCGAAUUAUAUAGUGCCAGGACCGGUGAAGAGGUAAUCAAUAUUUCGCUCAAGAUCUCGAAAUUCUCGCGCACUGAUCUCAUCGGAAUCAGCACAUCGUUGAUGUACACGAUCACCUUAUCAAUGCGAAUAAGCAGAUUCAGGAUCUGAAUAAUCCGUUUUUGGAAUUCGGCUGGUGCUUCCAAAUACCCAAAAGGAAUUACUCUAGCGCAAUACGGCGAGACGCUUGUUUGGAUGAUUCCUCAUUUCAAG